CAGCAGCCACGGGAAUACGUAGGUGGCAAGCGUUGUCCGGAAUUAUUGGGCGUAAAGGGCUCGCAGGCGGUUUCUUAAGUCUGAUGUGAAAGCCCCCGGCUCAACCGGGGAGGGUCAUUGGAAACUGGGAAACUUGAGUGCAGAAGAGGAGAGUGGAAUUCCACGUGUAGCGGUGAAAUGCGUAGAGAUGUGGAGGAACACCAGUGGCGAAGGCGACUCUCUGGUCUGUAACUGACGCUGAGGAGCGAAAGCGUGGGGAGCGAACAGGAUUAGAUACCCCAGUAGUCCCUGUCUCUUAUAC
rnacentral:rRNA from 1 species